GAGCGGAGCGGACCAGAGGACAUUUUGUAGUUUUUAGUUUUUUGCUUCAUGUGGUUUUUUGUUUGUAAUUUCACUGAAUUCUGAAUGCAGGUAUAUUCUCCCGAAAAAAUUAUCUAUAAUCAAACUAUUGAAUUUAUAUUUACGUGGAAUUGUGUCGUCAAUAACCAUGAAUACUGGAUCACAACACUCCAAGGAACUAGUGUGCUGUCCUCUACCCUGGUGCACACAUGUGGUAUUUAGUCCAUUUGCCUGAUCCAGACACCUGUGAAGCACAGCGAAUCAAUCGUGAAAAUUCAACUGCAAAAUUCAACUGCCAACCCACUAAAACUCCCCUGAUUCCAGCUGCAGACAACCAG
rnacentral:lncRNA from 1 species